GUUCCUUUUGGAGCAAAAGAUAAGGGAAUGAAUUUCAGAGAGAUUGGAAGAGGGAUGUAUGAAAGGCACCCGUAUUUUUCAAGGUUUAGGAGUAAUCCAUAUGCUGGCCAUCUUGGGUUACAGGUGGCUCAUUCGGAUGUACUGUGAACUGGGAAGUGGAAAGCUGUCGCUGGAUUUUGCAGAUGUAACAGGCUGGACAGCUCUUCACUGGGCUGCAUUCUUCAACAGCUGAAUUCGGAGAAAGUUGCUUCCAGCAGACAUAUUUAGCUACUUGGGUUCAAGUUUUAUCCCGUCAUCAACUUGGGUAGAUUGAAGUCGUUU